rnacentral:rRNA from 1 species
AGCGAACGCUGGCGGCAGGCUUAACACAUGCAAGUCGAGCGGGCACUUCCGGGUGUCAGCGGCGGACGGGUGCGUAACGCGUGGGAACGUGCCCUCUGGUUCGGAAUUACUCUGGGAAACUUGAGCUAAUACCGGAUACGCCCUUUUGAGGAAAGGCGUUCUGCCGUGGGAUCGGCGCGCGUCUGAUUAGCUAGUGGGUGAGGUAACGGCAUGCCAAGGCGAGGGUCAGUGGCUGGUCUGAGAGGAUGAUCAGCCACACUGGGGCUGAGACACGGACCAGACUCGUACGCAGAGGAGCGGUAGGUAGCAUUAGGGGAGGGGGGCAGACCUGAUCAAGCCGUGCCGGGUGAGUGGGCAAGGGGGUAGUAUUGUAAAUCUCUUUGAGACGGGACGAUAGUGAUGGUACCGGAGGAAUAAGCCCCGGCUAACUUCGUG